AUAGUUACGCGGCCUAAUUCAGCGCUUAUUACAAGCGACCUGAUGCGGAGGAACCAACUUUUGGGGCUUAUCUCAGGGCGAAACGCAUCGCCAGAGAAGGGGAUCUCUCACCCCUCGCCCGUCAGCUAACUCCGUCGGCCUUGGGAGAGAACGU
rnacentral:sRNA from 2 species